rnacentral:misc_RNA from 1 species
AGAAAUCAAAACAAAUAGAUAUAAUAAUAUUAAAAUUAUAAUUUUUAAAAGACAAUAUCAUAUUUGGAGACUAAUAUGGCAAACACAAUAUCCAUAAUGUCUAAUGCGUUACGAAAUGUUGUGAGCAAAAAACGCAUACGAUACAAGGAAAAAGGAUUUAAUUUGGAUCUUUCAUACAUUUGCCCGAAAAUAAUUGCGAUGGGAUAUCCUGCUCCGGACAUUAUUGAAGGCAUUUACAGAAAUCGCCUAGAGGAUGUUUAUAAAUUUAUGGAAGAAAAUCAUGGAGGGCAUUACAGAAUAUACAAUCUGUGUCAAGAACGGAGUUAUGACAUUAAUAAAUUUCAUGGGAAUGUUGCAACAUACCCGUUUGAGGAUCACAAUCCUCCUCCUAUUGUACUGAUGCAACGUUUUUGCCAAGACGUUGAAUCCUGGCUUAAUAGAGAUCCGUUAAAUGUCGUAGCUGUGCAUUGUAAAGCUGGAAAGGGAAGAACCGGUACUAUGAUAUGUGCAUACUUGGUUCAUAGUAAGUUCUUGAAUACAGCAGAUGAAGCUUUGGCUUUUUAUGAUGAAAAACGUACAAUAGAUCGGAAAGGUGUUACAAUUCCAUCUCAACGUAGAUAUGUUCAGUAUUAUUCAAAUUUAAUCCCAGAUAUACAUUAUGAAGUAGUCAGUCUUUACAUUUCUGAAAUCCGAUUUGCUGAGGCAAAUUACCUGCAUAAUCUUGGUACAGUGCAAUGUUCAAUUUCCGACAGGCAAGAGUCUGCAUCAGAGAAACUUAAGGCGCAUGAACUGAAAACAUGGCCAAUUGAUUUCCAAAAAACUUCAAUAUUGGACUUAACUAGUUCGCCUUUGAUGGUUUCUGGUGAUAUCAAAGUCGAACUUACUCAAAAGUCAUCAAGAAAGAUGAUUUGCAGUUUUUGGGUUAAUACAUUCUUUAUGCAAAAUGAUGCGGCUCGCAUUCUUGAUGGAAAUACCGUAAAGUUUAUGCAUACCUUAAAUAAAUCCGAGAUUGAUGGUGCACAUAAAGACAAAGACCAUAAAUCGUUUUCGGAGGACUUUAAGAUCUCUCUCGUAUUUAUAAAUGAAGAAAAACGCUCUGACAGUAUAAUCGCUGAAUCCUCAAUAGAUAACAGUAGGAGCAAUAAUCAAAGCUCAGAAAAUCUUCCUGGUGAUAAUAAUACGAAUCUAAGCAGUGAGGGUUCAGUUUUAAACUCUCCGUCCUCAAGUCGUUUGUUUGAAGGUCCAUUUCAUACCAGUGAUGAAAGAAGUGAGGGGCAAUCUCACCUAACAGCACAGAGCAGAAAACUAACUAAAAAUCAACAUAAAAAAUCAACUAUCUCAAAAUAUCCUGCAAUGGCAUCUAAACGCAAACAAUCCUCUUCAAAAUGCCUACUAGGUGCUAAUAAUACCUCGUCAGGCAAGGACAACAAAAAACAGCAUAUUUUUAAUCAACCGUCCCGUAAACAAAUCGAAAUGGUGCCUAAUAAUUGGCCCAGUAACAUCUAUGGAAAAGCCUCAGAGGGUCUACAUAUAUUUGAUCGAUGUAAUAUUUCCAAUAUUUCUGGCGGAGAACAGAAUUCACACAAUACUUACAAACGAUCAUCUUCUGAUUCAAAUCAAAGUGGUGAAGAAGGAGACGAGGAUUGGGAAUCCGCCAUACGACGUGUCACCAAAUCAUGCGAUUUCAUCGUCCACCGCACUUUAAAUGCUAUGAAAUAAAUUAAAAAUAAUCCAAAGAACAGAACGUCUCAUUUAAAAGCUUAGGUUAUGUAGCAGCCAAAAUUGUGGACUUAAUAUCACUAUUGAUCUUAAUUUUCAUAGCUAUGGAGGUAGCUACGUCCGGCACUACGUAAGGAGUCAUAUACCAAAGUGUUCUACUGUAAGAACUGAAACGUCAGAUUCAUCAGUAUAUGUGAUAUUUAUCCGGAGUGAUAUCUACAUCAACCAUGACAAGAGGUGAUAACUCACCACUCCACACUUUUUGGCUGCCAUUAUGUUAUUUAUUUAUUU